UGCUUCCUGGAAUUAAAAAUAAUCUGAGGGUGUUUCUGUCAUUUCAAAGAUAUUCAGUCUAUCACUGGCUCUCUAUAUAGCUAACACGUGGGAUUCUAAUUUUAACGUGUGGCAAUCACCGCUGGUUUUUCAUCUCAAUCUAACACUUCCAGGAGAAUAAAUACCCUGUGUAUCUAACGCCAUCUCCUCUUUAUCUCCUCUUUAUUUCCUCUUGUUCUUAAGUUUGCAGUGUGUUUUCUUCCAUCGAUCGUAUUUUUUAGUGGGUGAAACUGAUCUUGCAGUCUUCUUUAUGCUCGUGGGCAAAGAAUUCUAUCAAUUCCUGGAACUACAUGAGAAAUGCGAGGGAAGGGAUAAAGGAGGAAAAGUUGGGCGGAUCUACGUAUUAAUUUGUGGUGCUCCAAUACCCAUCAACCCCAAUGUGAGCUUCGGUAGUUAUAUAGAAAAUAGUAAACAAAUAUCUAAAUUUUAAUAGUCAGCACCCAGUAACAAAAGUAUACUUGGGUGCUUUGGAUCAACGGCGGAAGUUAAGGCUUGUGGUGUCUUGAACAAAUAUCUAAGCAAGUUUUUCUUAGGAAAAUUUAGCUGCUUUUUAUGAUAGUAAAUAUUUUAUCAGCCACGCCGAAUUCCGCUACUUUCCCACGAUGCAUUGCCCUUCUUUCCCUAAUUCCAAAUCUAACCUUAUUCUUUCCAUUGCUGACAUUUCCUUUUUUUUUUAAAACAUUUUCUUCUCAUUGUGACACAUAAAAGGGAAAAAGUAAGAACUAAGAUUUGGUUAAAGCUGGAGAAAUUGAAAAGAAAAGAAUGUGCCUCUCUUAAUAUUUUUUGUGUCAUAAUAAUUUUUGUGGCUCAAAGAAAAAUAUUUGGGUACUUUAAAAGUAAAAAACAGAAAAGCAAAAAGCUUUCGUAACUGUAAGAAAUGAUGUUAUUAUUUAUCGUUUUCAAUAUGUGAAUAAUCGUCGAGCACAAUUAU